rnacentral:rRNA from 1 species
GCAAUACGGAGCGGCAGAUUGGAGAGUAACACGUGGGAACGUGCCCUUUGGUUCGGAACAACACAGGGAAACUUGUGCUAAUACCGGAUAAGCCCUUACGGGGAAAGAUUUAUCGCCAAAGGAUCGGCCCGCGUCUGAUUAGCUUGUUGGUGAGGUAACGGCUCACCAAGGCUACGAUCAGUAGCUGGUCUGAGAGGAUGAUCAGCCUCACUGGGACUGAGACACGGCCCAGACUCCUACGGGAGGCAGCAGUGGGGAAUAUUGGACAAUGGGCGCAAGCCUGAUCCAGCCAUGCCGCGUGGGUGAUGAAGGCCCUAGGG